ACUGACAACUCUGCCAACAUUGAAUUAGUAGGAAUCCAGGAAUCUUUCGUGACCUCCUAUCCCCAGGAGCUCUGCUGGAAGAACUAUUGGGAAUUUCUUCUUCAAGUAAUCUCUCAGUGAUACAAUCAUGGCAUAUCAUUCCAUUAAGUAAAGAAUAUCAAGUUGAAGUUCCUCUGAACCUGGAUUUCUUCCCAUGAAACAAAACACUGGUUCUGACUUUUCCAUAUUUAAAAGGA